UAGGGANUCUUCGGCAAUGGGGGGAACCCUGACCGAGCAACGCCGCGUGAGUGAAGAAGGUUUUCGGAUCGUAAAGCUCUGUUGUUAAGGAAGAACGAGUGUGAGAAUGGAAAGUUCAUACUGUGACGGUACUUAACCAGAAAGGGAACGGUAACUAUACGUGCCAGCAGCCGCGGUAAUACGUACGUCCCGAGCGUUGUCCGGAUUUAUUGGGCGUAAANGAGCCGCAGGCGGUUAGAUAAGUCUGAAGUUAAAGGCAGUGGCUCAACCAUUGUAGGCUUUGGAAACUGUUUAACUUGAGUGCAGAAGGGGAGAGUGGAAUUCCAUGUGUUGUGAANGGAGNCAUAGAUGAAUAUGGAAGAACCGGUGGCCAAAGCGGCUCUCUGGUCUGUAACUGACGCUGAGGCUCGAAAGCGUGGGGAGCGAACAGGAUUAGAUACCCUGGUAGUCCACGCCGUAAACGAUGAGUGCUAGGUGUUAGGUCCUUUCCGGGACUUAGUGCCGCAGCUAACGCAUUANCACUCCGCCUGGGGAGUACGACCGCAGGUU
rnacentral:rRNA from 1 species